AUAAUGGGUCAGCGACUUAUAUUCUGUAGCAAGGUUAACCGAAUAGGGGAGCCGAAGGGAAACCGAGUCUUAACUGGGCGUUAAGUUGCAGGGUAUAGACCCGAAACCCGGUGAUCUAGCCAUGGGCAGGUUGAAGGUUGGGUAACACUAACUGGAGGACCGAACCGACUAAUGUUGAAAAAUUAGCGGAUGACUUGUGGCUGGGGGUGAAAGGCCAAUCAAACCGGGAGAUAGCUGGUUCUCCCCGAAAGCUAUUUAGGUAGCGCCUCGUGAAUUCAUCUCCGGGGGUAGAGCACUGUUUCGGCAAGGGGGUCAUCCCGACUUACCAACCCGAUGCAAACUGCGAAUACCGGAGAAUGUUAUCACGGGAGACACACGGCGGGUGCUAACGUCCGUCGUGAAGAGGGAAACAACCCAGACCGCCAGCUAAGGUCCCAAAGUCAUGGUUAAGUGGGAAACGAUGUGGGAAGGCCCAGACAGCCAGGAUGUUGGCUUAGAAGCAGCCAUCAUUUAAAGAAAGCGUAAUAGCUCACUGGUCGAGUCGGCCUGCGCGGAAGAUGUAACGGGGCUAAACCAUGCACCGAAGCUGCGGCAGCGACGCUGAUGCGUUGUUGGGUAGGGGAGCGUUCUGUAAGCCUGUGAAGGUGUGCUGUGAGGCAUGCUGGAGGUAUCAGAAGUGCGAAUGCUGACAUAAGUAACGAUAAAGCGGGUGAAAAGCCCGCUCGCCGGAAGACCAAGGGUUCCUGUCCAACGUUAAUCGGGGCAGGGUGAGUCGACCCCUAAGGCGAGGCCGAAAGGCGUAGUCGAUGGGAAACAGGUUAAUAUUCCUGUACUUGGUGUUACUGCGAAGGGGGGACGGAGAAGGCUAUGUUGGCCGGGCGACGGUUGUCCCGGUUUAAGCGUGUAGGCUGGUUUUCCAGGCAAAUCCGGAAAAUCAAGGCUGAGGCGUGAUGACGAGGCACUACGGUGCUGAAGCAACAAAUGCCCUGCUUCCAGGAAAAGCCUCUAAGCAUCAGGUAACAUCAAAUCGUACCCCAAACCGACACAGGUGGUCAGGUAGAGAAUACCAAGGCGCUUGAGAGAACUCGGGUGAAGGAACUAGGCAAAAUGGUGCCGUAACUUCGGGAGAAGGCACGCUGAUAUGUAGGUGAAGUCCCUCGCGGAUGGAGCUGAAAUCAGUCGAAGAUACCAGCUGGCUGCAACUGUUUAUUAAAAACACAGCACUGUGCAAACACGAAAGUGGACGUAUACGGUGUGACGCCUGCCCGGUGCCGGAAGGUUAAUUGAUGGGGUCAGCGCAAGCGAAGCUCUUGAUCGAAGCCCCGGUAAACGGCGGCCGUAACUAUAACGGUCCUAAGGUAGCGAAAUUCCUUGUCGGGUAAGUUCCGACCUGCACGAAUGGCGUAAUGAUGGCCAGGCUGUCUCCACCCGAGACUCAGUGAAAUUGAACUCGCUGUGAAGAUGCAGUGUACCCGCGGCAAGACGGAAAGACCCCGUGAACCUUUACUAUAGCUUGACACUGAACAUUGAGCCUUGAUGUGUAGGAUAGGUGGGAGGCUUUGAAGUGUGGACGCCAGUCUGCAUGGAGCCGGCCUUGAAAUACCACCCUUUAAUGUUUGAUGUUCUAACGUUGACCCGUUAUCCGGGUUGCGGACAGUGUCUGGUGGGUAGUUUGACUGGGGCGGUCUCCUCCUAAAGAGUAACGGAGGAGCACGAAGGUUGGCUAAUCCUGGUCGGACAUCAGGAGGUUAGUGCAAUGGCAUAAGCCAGCUUGACUGCGAGCGUGACGGCGCGAGCAGGUGCGAAAGCAGGUCAUAGUGAUCCGGUGGUUCUGAAUGGAAGGGCCAUCGCUCAACGGAUAAAAGGUACUCCGGGGAUAACAGGCUGAUACCGCCCAAGAGUUCAUAUCGACGGCGGUGUUUGGCACCUCGAUGUCGGCUCAUCACAUCCUGGGGCUGAAGUAGGUCCCAAGGGUAUGGCUGUUCGCCAUUUAAAGUGGUACGCGAGCUGGGUUUAGAACGUCGUGAGACAGUUCGGUCCCUAUCUGCCGUGGGCGCUGGAGAACUGAGGGGGGCUGCUCCUAGUACG
rnacentral:rRNA from 1 species